CAGGCAGUUCUUGGCCAGAUGCCAGAAGCUUCCUCCUUCCUCCCCGCCACGCCCUGAAGUGCCCUGAAGUGCAGUGAAACUCCGGGGAAUUUAGAUCCGGAUGUGGCAGGCGCGAUCCAGUUAAGCCUGCCGUUUCUGAAGGGAGCAGUCCGCUACGACUACCCUGGCUCCUCGUUCAAGGCACUCGACGGUGUAAGAGCUCGAUGGAGCAACUCGGUGACAUUUAGAGUUUCAGGGGUUUGCCACCCGUGUGUGUGUGAUGGAGGAAGUCAUCUCAGAGCCCGACCUAUUUCUCUUUUACUCCAAAGAAAGCCAGACCCCGCGGAGUUCAGCGAGGCUUCUGCUUCAGCCAAAGCUCGAUCUACAAUCUGAAAAGACGAAUGCAUGGACAAAAGUACCUAUACGCUCUUUCUCUCGAGUGAGAGUUGGCGCUUCUAGGGCAGAGACGGGCACCGCGUCCGGUCCCUACUCAAGAGAAAGUUGCCUUUGGGGCUGCCAGUGGUCGGGAUCUGCAGAAGCUGCCAUGUGCGUCGCUUUCUGUUUCCACCGUCGUCGGUCUUGGGAGCCUCAGCUCCAAAAGAGAACCCCGAUACUGUCUAUUCCACGUGACUCCAACGCCUUCCUCGGAGAAAAACGUUUGGCACGCCAGAGAUUCAACGGGUAGCCCCGGUUCGGUCGACUUGUCCCCUCCGCCUAGAAAUGCUGGAUUUCUUCAUCCGGCAUCAAGAAACUCUCGACGUCCCGCGCUGGGAGCGUCUGCUGCCGGCGCUGUGGAAAGUCCCACUGCCACCCCCGUUCUCCCAGAUCCCUGGUAGGAUUUUAUUGUCCUCGCUGGUGUCACUGCAAAUGAGCAGGAUUAGGAACUGGCAGCCUGCCACCUCUGCUGCCUGCUAGACGGAAAACCCAGUCUUGCCAAUGGCACGUUUCUAGUCAGAGUGGAAAAUAAACAGUCCAAACAUAUCCAAGCCCCAGCGCAAUGUUUAUUGUGAUCGAAGGCUCCCUGGCAGGGAUCCCUCUCGCCAGAUGCUCCCAACACAUUGGAAGGAAGAUUAGCCGCUGCUGCCUUCGCGUAUCAGGUUAAGCCACCGUGCGCUGGUUUGUAUGAGUGGGAUUCAGAAACAGGCCAGUUUCUGUGGAAUGAAAACCAAGGCCUAUGACUCAUCCCGGAGAAAGAAACAAACAAUUGGGUUUUGGUCAAGUAUCCGAAGUCGAACAAAUUAUGGCUCAGCACAAGAUGUGAAUUUUAAAAAGAUGGCCCUUUCCUUACUUCCGGUAUAAACAAGCCACUGAAUGCCGUGGCAAUCCCUUUUUCCCACUUUAGUCAGAGGAUACCGGCCUUAUUUCUAGCUUGUGCUUUAAACAAUAUCAGCUCCCGGCCUUUUUAAAAAUAGCUAAGUUUUUUUCUGCUCAAUAUGAGCAUUAGUAUAAGUGUAUACACUUUCUUUCCCUUUCUCCUACCCAUUCUGGAUAGGCCUAUUAGAUCUGUACUGUACAGAUCUGAACAAUGGCAAAGAGAGAUAAAUUUCAAUUUCUUUGCGGCCACCCAGUAGUCGUGGUCCGGAAUUUUACGUCUUAGAACCGGAAACUUUAUUGUGACUGGCCACACUUCAUGAAGCAAUGGUCGAGUCUAAGAGGAAGUGUCUCUGUGUUGUGAAAGAGGCAGAACAUCAGCAAAUCACCCCCUUAAAAUAUCCCCCCACCCCGACCACGAGAACAGAACAGGUUACUAGCUAGGAUCGCAAUGGAUCAGAGCAAUCUAUCCCAGUGCAGGCGAGAAGUGCAGCAGGGCCAAGUUACGAGGAAGAUCCCUGCUUCCUCAGUCUUUGCUGUCUUACGAAGGCAGCGCGGACUGAAACGAGCACGGCUCUUCUUACUCCUGUGCCAAGCCAAAUGUAAGGCUGUGAGAAUUGGUUCGAUAUACUGUGAAAAAAGAGCGGUUCGAAUAUUUUCCAAGUUCCACUUAGGUAACCCUCUCCCCAAGACCCCACCACCGCCACCCUCGGAUUUCAGCCUCCCCGGUUUGUGGUGAAGCCGAUGGUGUCUGUAUGGAAAUCACGUGGAGUGUACGAAAGAGCAGCACGCGCUCCCAGAGAGGAAUGUCCUCAAGGGGUCCCUUUUCCGAACCCUCGGAGGCCCCCGCGCCUCGUUUGGCUACCAGCCCUGCGAGCGUGCCCGGGGACUUGGGCUUGGAAGACGGAGAGAAGUUCUUGGACUUCAGCACGGGUGCGAUCGACCCCCACAGGACUGCGCAGGCGCUGGCGGUUGCCCUGAGCCUCCAGCUCUCCGAAAAGCCCUUUGGAAUGAAUGGCGGUGGCGGUGGCGGGAGCGGUGCUGGGCGUACUGGACCCUCUUGGAGCAGAGCUGAGUCUCGGAGGCUAAUGCCUUCCUUCUACGCUACUUAAGAGAAGGAAGAUCCCUCUGAAAGCAGAUUUAAGGUUAUUAUUUGUCAAUCGGACUAAAGAGUCAAAGUGCCUAGCUGCAGCCCGGAGGGAACUCUCGACCCCGGGACUGGCUGCUCCGCAUUGAUCUGCGCUGAGAUCGUUUGGGACCACAGAGGAAGACUUAAGCGCGGUGCCUCUUCAAUAAGCCAGACUUCUAUCCGUUUCAAGAUGCAGCAACAACAGCGUUUACCUCUCUCGCAUUCAGAGAGUUCAAGGCGCCCCACGUGCAACUUUAAGAGAGAUCCUGAACCUCCGCCCUCGCCCCCUCCCCCUUUCAGCCAUGUCGCUACACUAGCCAUGAUUCCUCAAUAAAAAUAGCUUCGGAUCAAGUUCGACCUCUGGUGUUUACACAUCGACAACGAAUGAAGGCCAA